rnacentral:rRNA from 1 species
AUGGACGCCAUCACCAACGAGGCGCGCGUGGGGGCGUUCGCGAUCGGCCCGUCCACGGCGGCGGGGCGGACGCUCGCGCUGCGCGUGCUCCUCUGCGGCUCGCUGGCGCGGCUGCGGCACCGCCUCGCCGCCGCGCUGCGCGCCGCGGCGCCCCUGGCUGCGGCCUGGCUGCACCCGCGCCACAACACGCGGGGGAUCCUGCUCGCCGUCUGCGCCGUCGCGCUCCUGCUGCGCGGCCGCGGGGGCCGCGCCGGGGUGCGCGCGCGGGUGCAGUCCGCCUACCGCCGCAAGUUCUGGCGGAACAUGAUGCGCGCCGCGCUCACCUACGAGGAGUGGGCGCACGCCGCGCGGAUGCUCGAGCGGGAGACGCCGCGCCGCGCCACCGACGCCGACCUCUACGACGAGGAGCUCGUGCGCAACAAGCUCCGCGAGCUCAGGCACCGCCGCCAGGAGGGCUCGCUCAGGGACAUCGUCUUCUGCAUGCGCGCCGACCUGCUCAGGAACCUUGGUAACAUGUGCAACCCCGAGCUCCACAAGUUGAGGCUGCAGGUGCCUAAAAUCAUCAAGGAGUACAUUGAGGAGGUAUCUACUCAAUUGAAAAUGGUUUGCAAUUCUGAUUCGGACGAGCUACCCCUUGAAGAGAAACUGGCAUUUAUGCAUGAGACAAGACAUGCCUUUGGUAGAUCGGCCUUACUGCUAAGUGGAGGUGCUUCAUUUGGCUCUUUUCAUGUGGGUGUUGUCAAAACCUUGGUAGAGCAUAAGCUUCUACCUAGGAUUAUUUCAGGAUCAAGCGUUGGCGCAAUAAUGUGUGCUAUUGUAGCCACACGGUCAUGGCCAGAACUAGAGAGUUUUUUUGAGGAGUGGCAUUCCUUGAAAUUCUUUGACCAGAUGGGUGGGAUCUUUCCUGUAUUUAAAAGAAUUUUGACGCAUGGAGCUGUUCAUGACAUUAGGCACUUGCAGACGCAAUUGAGAAAUCUUACAAGCAACUUGACAUUUCAAGAGGCAUAUGACAUGACUGGCCGGGUUCUCGUUGUUACUGUGUGUUCUCCAAGAAAACAUGAGCCACCUCGAUGCCUGAACUAUUUGACAUCACCUCAUGUUCUCAUCUGGAGUGCAGUAACUGCUUCCUGUGCUUUUCCUGGACUUUUUGAGGCCCAGGAGUUGAUGGCCAAAGAUAGAUUCGGAGAAACAGUUCCUUUUCAUGCUCCAUUUUUGUUGGGUGUGGAGGAACGAGCUGACGCGGCUACACGGCGCUGGAGAGAUGGGAGCUUAGAAAGUGAUUUGCCCAUGAAGCAAUUGAAGGAAUUAUUCAACGUAAAUCACUUCAUAGUAAGCCAAGCCAAUCCUCACAUUGCUCCAUUACUGAGACUAAAGGAGAUCAUCAGGGCUUACGGAGGCAGCUUUGCUGCAAAGCUUGCUGAACUUGCUGAGAUGGAAGUUAAGCAUAGGUUCAAUCAAGUUCUGGAACUUGGAUUUCCAUUAGGAGGAAUAGCUAAGUUGUUUGCUCAACAUUGGGAAGGUGAUGUGACAAUUGUUAUGCCAGCCACACUUGCUCAGUAUUCGAAGAUCAUACAGAAUCCUUCGUAUUCUGAGCUUCAGAAAGCGGCAAGUCAGGGUAGGCGAUGCACUUGGGAAAAGCUCUCUGCCAUCAGGGCAAACUGCGCUAUUGAGCUUGCAUUAGAUGAAUGUGUGGCCCUCCUGAACCACAUGCGUAGGCUGAAGAGAAGUGCAGAAAGAGCAGCCGCUUCACAAGGAUAUGGUGCUACAAUUAGACUCUGUCCAUCUAGAAGGAUUCCAUCAUGGAAUCUCAUAGCAAGAGAAAACUCAACUGGUUCUCUCGAUGAGGAAAUGCUCGCAUCUCCCACUGUUACGAGCCAUCAAGCAGUUGGAGGGACUGCUGGGCCAUCUAACAGAAAUCACCAUCUCCAACAUAGCAUACAUGAUAGCAGUGACAGUGAAUCUGAGAGUAUAGACUUGAACUCAUGGACGAGAAGUGGUGGCCCUCUCAUGAGAACAGCCUCAGCUAAUAAAUUCAUCAGCUUUGUUCAGAACCUUGAGAUUGACACAGAAUUCAGAACAAUUUCACCAAGGGGAAGUGAAGGUGAUAUUGUGACACCGAAUAGUAACUUAUUUGCUGGUCACCUAAUUGGUAGAGAGCCAGUUGAUAACCAUCCAGGGCCUGUUACUCCUGGUAGGACCUCAGGCAAUUCAGGUUGCGAUCCUCAUGAUACUCCUGUUCCUAGGUCUCCAUUUGGUCUUUCCACAAGUAUCAUGGUCCCUGAAGGUGACUUGCUGCAGCCUGAAAAGAUUGAGAAUGGUAUUUUAUUCAAUGUUGUGAGAAGGGAUACUCUCGUAGUGACUACUAGCGGAGUUGAACCUCAUGGAUCUUCACAGGAAGCAGAUGUGGAAACUGUACCGACCGAGUGCCUUUAUGGUGCUUCGGAUGAAGACGACGACAACGUGGAACUGAAUGCCGAUCCCGAAGCACUAUCUGACCCUGGAGAUCAGAGAUCCUCAGUUGCAGGAAACCUAGAUCCGUCCACUUCCAUGGAUUGUCAAGCUGACGAAACAAGUACUACUCGAUCAGAAGCUCCGUCUCUAUUUGAUAUCUGUGUGGAGAUUCCUCCACCAACCAUGAUCAGAGAAAAUAGUCGGCCCGACGAGCCUUCUUCAGACAUAAGACUGGAGACUGUAAAGACAGAUUGCCCUGAUGAGAAUUCAGCUGCUGGGAAUGAUGAAGUUGACUCAGUUCCUGCCAAUAAAGAAUCUUCCUAUUGUUCUCAGACAGCUGAAAAUGGACAGCAGCAUCAAGUGGAUAUGGGAUCUGUGAACUCCUGCAGUGUUUCAGUUUCAGAAGAUGAUAAACAUGUCAGCCUCGUUUCGAACGAGAAACCAGUUACUACUUCCAGUGGCGGAGCGGAGAGUAUGACAUCUGGAAGAAAUGAAGCUGACUAG